GAUUAACGCUGGCGGCGUGCAUAACACAUGCAAGUCGAACGAUGAAACUUAACUGAUUUCUUCGGAAUGAUUUUAAGUGGAUUAGUGGCGGACGGGUGAGUAACGCGUGAGUAACCUGCCUUGGAGAAGGGGAUAGCCUUUGGAAACGAAGAAUAAUACCCUAUGAUAUGAUAAUAUCUCAUGAUAUUAUCAUCAAAGAUUUAUCGCUCUAAGAUGGACUUGCGUCUGAUUAGUUAGUUGGUGAGGUAACAGCUCACCAAGGCAGCGAUCAGUAGCCGGCUGGAGAGAGUGUAAGGCCACAUUGGGACUGAGACACGGCCCAGACUCCUACGGGAGGCAGCAGUGGGGAAUUUUGCAAAAUGGGGGAAACCCUGAUGCAGCGACGCCGCGUGAUUUAGAAGGCCUUCGGGUUGUAAAAAUCUUUUGUAUGGGAAGAAAAUGACAGUACCAUACGAAUAAGGACCGGCUAAGUACGUG
rnacentral:rRNA from 1 species